GCCUUGUUAGCGCAGUAGGCAGCGUGUCAGUCUCAUAAUCUGAAGGUCGUGAGGUCGAUCCUCACACGGGGCA